UACGUAGGGGGCGAGCGUUGUCCGGAUUUAUUGGGCGUAAAGAGCGUGUAGGCGGCUUUACAGGUCCGUUGUGAAAACUCGGGGCUCAACCUCGAGACGCCGGUGGAAACCGUAAAGCUAGAGUCCGGAAGAGGAGAGUGGAAUUCCUGGUGUAGCGGUGAAAUGCGCAGAUAUCAGGAAGAACACCCGUGGCGAAGGCGGCUCUCUGGGACGGUACUGACGCUGAGACGCGAAAGCGUGGGGAGCGAACAGG
rnacentral:rRNA from 1 species